rnacentral:rRNA from 1 species
GCCUAAAUAAUACUUUAAAAGCAUCAAAUCACAUAUGAUCUUGGAAGCUAAGUGGUGUCAGCCCUGGUUAUACUUGGAUGGGAAACUGCCAAUGGAUACCAGGUGCUUUAGGCU